rnacentral:tRNA from 1 species
GCUCCUUUAGCUCAGUCGGUAGAGCGGUGGUCUUAUGAGCCGCAGGUCAUGGGUUCAAACCCCAUAGGGAGCA